rnacentral:rRNA from 1 species
GAUGAACGCUGGCGGCGUGCCUAAUACAUGCAAGUCGAGCGAAUGGAUUAAGAGCUUGCUCUUAUGAAGUUAGCGGCGGACGGGUGAGUAACACGUGGGUAACCUGCCCAUAAGACUGGGAUAACUCCGGGAAACCGGGGCUAAUACCGGAUAACAUUUUGAACCGCAUGGUUCGAAAUUGAAAGGCGGCUUCGGCUGUCACUUAUGGAUGGACUCGCGUCGCAUUAGCUAGUUGGUGAGGUAACGGCUCACCUAGGCAACGAUGCGUAGCCGACCUGAAAGGGUGAUCGGCCACACUGGGACUGAGACACGGCCCAGACUCCUACGGGGGGCAGCAGUAGGGAAUCUUCCGCAAUGGGCGAAAGUCUGACGGAGCAACGCCGCGUGAGUGAUGAAGGCUUUCGGGUCGUAAAACUCUGUUGUUAGGGAAGAACAAGUGCUAGUUGAAUAAGCUGGCACCUUGACGGUACCUAACCAGAAAGCCACGGCUAACUACGUGCCAGCCGCCGCAGUAA